AGUGAACGCUGGCGGUAGGCCUAACACAUGCAAGUCGAACGGCAGCACAGUAAGAGCUUGCUCUUACGGGUGUCGCGUGGCGGACGGGUGAGGAAUACAUCGGAAUCUACUUUUUCGUGGGGGCUAACGUCGGGAAACUUACGCUAAUACCGCAUACGACCUACGGGUGAAAGCAGGGGAUCUUCGGACCUUGCGCGAUUGAAUGAGCCGAUGUCGGAUUAGCUAGUUGGCGGGGUAAAGGCCCACCAAGGCGACGAUCCGUAUCUGGUCUGAGAGGAUGAUCAGCCACACUGGAACUGAGACACGGUCCAGACUCCUACGGGAGGCAGCAGUGGGGAAUAUUGGACAAUGGGCGCAAGCCUGAUCCAGCCAUACCGCGUGGGUGAAGAAGGCCUUCGGGUUGUAAAGCCCUUUUGUUGGGAAAGAAAAGCAGCAGGUUAAUACCCCGCUGUUCUGACGGUACCCAAAGAAUAAGCACCGGCUAACUUCGUG
rnacentral:rRNA from 1 species